rnacentral:rRNA from 1 species
CGACGUGAGUAACCUGCCUCUAAGAGGGGAAGUAACAUUCUGAAAAGAAUGCUAAUACCGCAUAACAUAUAUUUAUCCCAUGGUAGAUAUAUCAAAGAUUUAUCGCUUAGAGAUGGACUCGCGUCCGAUUAGUUAGUUGGUGAGGUAACGGCUCACCAAGACUGCGAUCGGUAGCCGGACUGAGAGGUUGAACGGCCACAUUGGGACUGAGACACGGCCCAG